UUUAAAAUUAUUAAACAUUAAAAUAAAUUCAUUUUAAAAAUUAUUAUCGUAAUGAUAUUCUUUUAUUCCUUUAUAUUACUCUUUACUUUGGCAGUAAAUAAAUUAGUGAUAGUCGCAGUUAAACACAAACUUCAUGCAACAUCGAUAACGUUUGACAACAUAUUGACAGAGUUGUAAGACGUGUCGAAGUGUGUAUGCAAUAUUUAUAUUUUGACUCGUGAUGAUUUUUGGUUAUUCGAUACAGGAAAAAAACAAUUUCUCCGGUAAGAGUAAGAUUUUGAUCGGAUAUAUCUUUAGAGCUAAAUAAAGAUUUAUUUGUCAAGAGGUUGUUUGAUAUAAAAUAAAUCCUCGAAAGAGUUAGUUAUAUUAUCCAAUCCAGACUCUUUAAAGAGUUAACAGAAGAAGAUUUAUUUAUCGAGAAGCGGUUUGAUAAAUUCUUGGAAAAGUUUGGUACGAAGGAAACACCAUGCCUCUGGAUCACCCGCAAUUUAUAGGAGUAUCAAUGGGAUUAAUAAAAAUCAAUAAAUCCAUUUACAAAAUAUGAGAUUCUUUUAAGCGAAGAAGUAUCAUUACUCUCUUCGCUAUGAGAACCUUGUGUAAUGUUAUGGUGUUUCUGCAGAAUGAUUACAACAUAAUUUUUUUUAAUUAGUAUUUUAUUGUUUAUAUGUACGAUAAUGUAUAGCUGACUAUAUGUAUAUGUGAAAAUAAGUUUAAAGAAACAAGAAAGAAUUUAAAUAAAAAAAAGCAAAAAUGAUUUCAUUAUUAUUACUAUGACACUCGUAAUAUUUGUACUUUAUGCUAUGUAAUUUAAUUUUGAAUAUGCAUAAAAUUCAGUCUUAUAGUACGUAUAAACAAUAAAAUACUAACAAUUAAAGAUGCAACGUUUUUUCCCUGCGGGCGUGCGUAAAGAUUGCGGUCGAGAUCAAGAAAGACGAAUCCAGAGACACUUUUAUAACAUGAACGUAUAAUAUAUUUCAUUAAAUUUAUUUUUUACUAGUUAUGAUGAUAUUUAAAGAUAAACGCAAACAAUUAUAAUAUAAAUAAGCUUCGAAACACUGUGACAUUUUAAUAUAAAUGCAAGGAAUUAUAAUAUGAAUUGUAUCCGAAAUACAGAAGGACCGGAUUUACUACUGAUAGAGCGCGCAUUGAUUAUGGCUGGUUCGGUUGCGGACUUUGAUUGGCUGUACGCGGUUCGCAUGCGUCAAAAUUGGUUGUGCUGUCAACGUCUCGUAACGCGGAACUUUCGAAACACGGCGAGCGGUGCGUUCACUUUUAACAUAAGAUUUUUCUUCAGCGACAUCCAGUAAACAUUUUACUUUCUAAAACUUUCCACUUAUUCUACCUGAUAUAUCAAAUAUACUUUUUACCUUUAAGGGGUAGUUUUCACCCCUCAGAGUGAACCUUGGCCGAUAAAAAAAAAUACGUGUGAAAUAUUUUUCAUAGUUUUACAAAUGUGUAAAGUUUCAUUAAAAUCGGAGAGUGACACUUCCGUAGGUUUACUUGUGAGUAUAUACCCAGUGGUUCAGAAGCACCAGUAGCCGAGAAAAAGAAAGAUAGCUUUCGGUACUAUGACUAAAUGGAAUUCUUAAAUGACUCAAUGAUUUCCAGGCCUUCUAAAAGUAACGUUGCAGAGAACACGUCACAUGCUUUCGAUUUCAACGAAGAAAAAGUUGCAGUAACUCUAACUUCAACAAAUGUUUAGUGGAAAAUGAAGAGGAUAGGGAAGAGAAUACAUCAGAAAUAAAGUUAAGUGUGUCCGAUUUUAGCAGCUUCUCGGAGCACACUAAACAUCCAAGAAAGCAGUCAUUUAAUGCUGAAUUUAAGAAGGACUUGUUAAAACUAUUUUCAGAAGAUACAAAAACUUAUGACGGUGUUGAAAGAUUUUUGACUCAACUGGGCGAUAUUUUAAGAAAAUUGCCAUAUAAAAGUAGAAGGCAAUUUGAAACUAAAAUUUUGAUGAAUGCAUUAAAAAUAGAAAAAAA
rnacentral:lncRNA from 1 species